rnacentral:misc_RNA from 1 species
GUAGGUGAACCUGCGGAAGGAUCAUUAUCGAGCUUGGGUCCUCUGGGCCCCAUCUCCAACCCUUGUCUAUCUUCCCAUGUUGCUUUGGCGGGUCCAUCCUUCACCGGAUCGCCGGAGGGUCUUCCCAACGGCCCGCGCCCGCCAGUAGCCCCCCGAUAACUCCUUUAAUAGUGAUGUCUAAGCGUAAUGCGUAAUAGUCAAAAAACUUUCAACAACGGAUCUCUUGGUUCUGGCAUCGAUGAAGAACGCA